AGACACCACUUGCAUGAAUAAGGUCAUAUGUCCUCGGAUAUGUGGAAAAAGCUUCACACCUGGUGGAAAAUAAUAUUAUUCUCAGAACACCAUCUUUAAUAUUAACGGAGCAAAAUUUACAGAUUCAAACAUCAGCAUGUGAUGACUAAACGGAAGAACUCUCACUAAGCAGCUGUGAGAAGCACAUAUCGCUAUGCCUACACCUAAGCAAUCUAAAAUCACGCAGAGGCAAAAGAUGGGCAACUUCUAAAUAAGAUAAGCUGAGAUAACACUAUAUCAGGAUAGUGGAGUCGAAGAUCAACAAAACAAGUACGGCCUUUUCACAGCUAUUGUAGGCAUGACAUUCAUGACCCAGAGUCUAGGAGAUUCAAGAGCGGCAGCAAAACUUCCCAGACCAGCAUUCAUGUCCAUGAUGUUGCGAUAUCUGCCAGAAUCAAUAAGCUUGUUGAUUCUCUUAUAAGCA